rnacentral:rRNA from 1 species
AGUGAACGCUGGCGGUAGGCCUAACACAUGCAAGUCGAACGGCAGCACAGUAAGAGCUUGCUCUUACGGGUGGCGAGUGGCGGACGGGUGAGGAAUACAUCGGAAUCUACUUUUUCGUGGGGGAUAACGUAGGGAAACUUACGCUAAUACCGCAUACGACCUACGGGUGAAAGCAGGGGAUCUUCGGACCUUUCGCGAUUGAAUGAGCCGAUGUCGGAUUAGCUAGUUGGCGGGGUAAAGGCCCACCAAGGCGACGAUCCGUGGCUGGUCUGAGAGGAUGAUCAGCCACACUGGAACUGAGACACGGUCCAGACUCCUAAGGGAGGCAGCAGUGGGGAAUAUUGGACAAUGGGCGCAAGCAUGAUCCAGCCAUACCGCGUGGGUGAAGAAGGCCUUCGGGUUGUAAAGCCCUUUUGUUGGGAAAGAAAAGCAGCAGGUUAAUACCCCGCUGUUCUGACGGUACCCAAAGAAUAAGCACCGGCUAACUUCGUG